rnacentral:rRNA from 1 species
AGCGAACGCUGGCGGCAGGCCUAACACAUGCAAGUCGAACGGACCCUUCGGGGUUAGUGGCGGACGGGUGAGUAACACGUGGGAACGUGCCUUUAGGUUCGGAAUAGCUCCUGGAAACGGGUGGUAAUGCCGAAUGUGCCCUUCGGGGGAAAGAUUUAUCGCCUUUAGAGCGGCCCGCGUCUGAUUAGCUAGUUGGUGAGGUAAUGGCUCGCCAAGCCUACGAUCCAUAGCUGGUCUGAGAGGAUGAUCAGCCACACUGGGACUGAGACACGGCCCAGACUCCUACGGGAGGCAGCAGUGGGGAAUCUUGCGCAAUGGGCGAAAGCCUGACGCAGCCAUGCCGCGUGAAUGAUGAAGGUCUUAGGAUUGUAAAAUUCUUUUACCAGGGACGAUAAUGACGGUACCUGGAGAAAAAGCCCCGGCUAACUUCGUGCCAGCCGCCGCCGUAAUAC